UGCGGGGUGGAGCAGCCUGGUAGCUCGUCGGGCUCAUAACCCGAAGGUCACUGGUUCAAAUCCAGUCCCCGCUA
rnacentral:tRNA from 1 species